rnacentral:rRNA from 1 species
CAGCGGAGCAUGUGGUUUAAUUUCGAAGCAACGACGAAGAACCUUACCAAGACUUGACAUCCCCUGACAGCUGUUGAAAGGCAGUGUCUCUUCGGAGCAGGGAGACAGGUGGUGCAUGGUUGUCGUCAGCUCGUGUCGUGAGAUGUUGGGUUAAGUCCCGCAACGAGCGCAACCCUUAUCCUUAGUUACCAGCACGUAAAGGUGGGGACUCUAGGGAGACCGCCGGGGACGACUCGGAGGAAGGUGGGGACGACGUCAAAUCAUCAUGCCCCUUAUGUCUUGGGCUACACACGUGCUACAAUGGCCGCAACAGAGGGAAGCGAGAGCGCAAGCUGGAGCAAAACCCUAAAAAGCGGUCCCAGUUCGGAUUGUGGGCUGCAACCCGCCCACAUGAAGUCGGAGUUGCUAGUAAUCGCGAAUCAGCAUGUCGCGGUGAAUGCGUUCCCGGGCCUU